ACUUUUAUUCUGAUUCUUGAAAACUCCAAUAGUUUCUCUGGGAAAGCUAUCGGCCAAAUUUAACUGUCCGAGCUGCCCUCAGAAAAACUCUUGGCUCAUCGAGAAAUUCUAAAAUCAUAUU
rnacentral:precursor_RNA from 15 species